rnacentral:rRNA from 1 species
GAUGAACGCUGGCGGCGUGCCUAAUACAUGCAAGUCGAGCGAACAGAUGAGGAGCUUGCUCCUCUGACGUUAGCGGCGGACGGGUGAGUAACACGUGGAUAACCUACCUAUAAGACUGGGAUAACUUCGGGAAACCGGAGCUAAUACCGGAUAAUAUAUUGAACCGCAUGGUUCAAUAGUGAAAGACGGUUUUGCUGUCACUUAUAGAUGGAUCCGCGCCGCAUUAGCUAGUUGGUAAGGUAACGGCUUACCAAGGCAACGAUGCGUAGCCGACCUGAGAGGGUGAUCGGCCACACGGGAACGGAGACACGGUCCAGACUCCUACGGGAGGCAGCAGUAGGGAAUCUUCCGCAAUGGGCGAAAGCCUGACGGAGCAACGCCGCGUGAGUGAUGAAGGUCUUCGGAUCGUAAAACUCUGUUAUUAGGGAAGAACAAAUGUGUAAGUAACUAUGCACGUCUUGACGGUACCUAAUCAGAAAGCCACGGCUAACUCCGUG